CUGAAACCAGGCCUUGGCCUCUGUCCUUGCUGAAUGUGUCUAUAAAACUGCCUGAGCAGAAAGCACAUUCUGGCCUGGCUGGGAGCUGUAUGCCCGGGAACUAGGAGUUAACCUGGGGAUGCAGCCCAUUCUCCUUAUCCGAGAACUGCCUGUCUUCAUGGAAAGACUAACAACCUUGUGACCCCCCACUGCAUUGCUGGGUAUCUUCUUCCACUCCCACACCAAUCCACAUGGAAGAAUCACCCUUGGCAACAGCAACAGAAACUUCUGAUGGACCACCGUGCCUGGUUCUUGGGACAUCUGCCAAGCUGCCUGCCCUCUCCCCUGACCCUAGGG